AUUGGAAAUACGGAGUUCUGGCUUCCUUACAAUCCGUGAUUCUAUCUAAGAGGAAAUAAUGAUGGGGGAGGGGGUUAAUGUGGAGAGAAAAAGAGGUCACAUUCCUCAGGUGGCAUCUGUUUGAACUGAAGAUGAUGAAAGUGGUGGGAGGAAGCCAAGGUUUCCUUUGGAGAGAAGUUUCCAAGCCAUGUUCCUGUUGCGAUGCUUUCUUUCCUACACAACUUGUUACCUCAGGCCUAGUCUGUCACUGAAUUAUGAAGAAGUAUAAACAAUCCCAGGUCUCAGGACGCACUUGGAGACCAGGCCCGCCAAUAUUCCAGUUAAGAGUUAACGCUACCAGAAAUGUGCAGUGCUUUAGGAUUUCAACUUGGGACUCGUUGAAGACCAGAAUGUUACAGUUAAUCUUGCCUUUCUCUUUUUGUUUCCAACGCCCUAUUUUCCCUUCAGUGUCUUUCCUCUUCGGUGUCCCUACCUCCUGAAAUAUAAAAGUUUAAUAAAAACACCGUCCUAUUUUAUUUUUUAAAAUAAAAGUUGACACUAAAUUUGAGAGCUAGUGUUGCAACUAAGCUCUUCGGAA